UACGUAGGGACCGAGCGUUGUCCGGAAUCAUUGGGCGUAAAGAGCGUGUAGGCGGCCCCUUAAGUCCUGCGUGAAAUCCUGCGGCUCAACCGCAGACGGUCGUGGGAAACUGGAGGGCUAGAGUGCGGGAGAGGAGAGUGGAAUUCCCGGUGUAGCGGUGAAAUGCGCAGAUAUCGGGAGGAACACCAGUGGCGAAGGCGGAACUCUGGGCCGGAACUGACGCUGAGGAGCGAAAGCUAGGGGAGCAAACAGG
rnacentral:rRNA from 1 species